CUAAAAAUAAGUCACUAUGACCAAAAUAGUCAAUUGACCCCCUAAGGAGUCAUUGCCCUUCAUAGUCAAUUUUUAACAAUUUUCUUAAAAUUGAAGAUUUUCAAUAACAUUUUCCACAGAAAGUACUGUUAUAGAUAGAGAUAAUUGUAAGCAGCAAGAAUGUUUAAUAAAGUAAGAUCUACAAACACAUCACCAUCACCAAAAC
rnacentral:lncRNA from 1 species